AAGUCGUAACAAGGUAACCGUAGGUGAACCUGCGGUUGGAUCAUUAACAAUGGUUUUCAAACCUUUAUUCUGUGCACUGUAUUGUUCUUGGUGUUUUCCGCCUCUUUCUUUGGAGAGGAGCGGAGGCACCGACAUUUUUAAACCAUGUAUUGUAUCUAGUCUUGAAUUUGUAUUAAAAUGAAAAACUUUUGACAACGGAUCUCUUGGCUCUC
rnacentral:misc_RNA from 1 species